CCUACGGGAGGCAGCAGUGAGGAAUAUUGGUCAAUGGUCGAGAGACUGAACCAGCCAAGCCGCGUGAAGGAGGAAUGCCCUGUGUAUUGUAAACUUCUUUUAUCAGGGAAUAAAACCGGGCACGUGUCCCUGUAUGCGUGUACUUUAUGAAUAAGCAUCGGCUAACUCCGUGCCAGCAGCCGCGGUAAUACGGAGGAUCCGAGCGUUAUCCGGAUUUAUUGGGUUUAAAGGGAGCGUAGGGGGGUUGUUAAGUCAGGUGUGAAAGUUUGCGGCCCAACCGUAACAACGCAAUUGAUACUGGAAGGCUAGAGAACAGUCGAGGUAGGCGGAAUACGUGGAGUAGCGGUGAAAUGCAUAGAUAUAACGAAGAACACCGAUUGCGAAGGCAGCUUACUAGACUGUGACUGACGUUGAUGCUCGAAAGCGUGGGUAGCAAACAGGAUUAGAUACCCCUGUAGUC
rnacentral:rRNA from 1 species